rnacentral:lncRNA from 10 species
ACAAAUUUCCUCCACAGGCUCAGGGGAAAGAUCACUUGAUCAUUCAGGAGAACUCCUGUGGUCUGGGAGGACUCAGAGAAUUGGAACAGGCCCGGCUCUGCUGCCAGAUGUUUCUAAGAAAUCCAGUAAUGAAGACAAUCCCAUGAUAUGAUCCACAGAGGAUUGCUGCUUUGCGGGGAGAGGGGGCUAGAAUUGCAGAAGAGCAACAGAGUGAGAAGGAAUUUGCAUCCAGCUCUGACCCUGGGGAAUAUCCCAAUCUUCAACCCUGAAGCAGCAUAUGGAGUCUAGGAAGCGUAUGGGGCCAGGCUGUAGCAAUACACCCAGUUAAAACAUCCGCUUCCCAGAUGCCUUUGCACAGUAGAGUGGUCACAUGAUCCACUUCUGGCCAAUGAGAGGGCAUCUUGAGACAAUGUUCUGCCUACACAAAAUUCUAAACUGAGAGGAGUGGCUCAGAAGCUCUACUAACAUGGAAUCACAUGUGG